rnacentral:tRNA from 1 species
GAUAAGUUCAGCUAAACAAGCUUUCGGGCCCAUACCCCGAACAUGAUGGUUAAUAUCCCUCACUUAUCA